rnacentral:lncRNA from 1 species
GUGGUCCUAGGCAGAGCUGAUGACCCAGGAGCCGCGCGCAGGUUUUAUUAGCCUGGAAUCAACUGGGGCGUGAUGAAUGGAGGCGAAGUAACCGCCGUGAAACCGGAAUCGUCCGACUCACGCCAUUAAUUAGCAACUAAUUUCAGAGCUGUCUCGGAUGGUUGAUGUCCGGAAAGCCACGUGCCAAUUGACCAGCGGUGGCAAGAUUAGAAAGAUUUAGAUAAUCCAGGGCAGAGCCUGGGUAUGUGAUCGCUGACACAGCUGUGGUCUGCAAGAGAAAAGCCAGUCGCCUACAAAGUCAAACCAGGCUGUCACUCAUCACGGAAAUCCAGUUGCUCACCCUGACACUUGCAAUAAAUCAGAGAAAUGGCUACAUAAACACUUGGGAACACUGAAGCCUUUCUGAGAAGGCACCUGCCUUUCCUUCCAUGUAUCUACACAGGAGCCUUUAAACCCAAGCAACUUCCCUUGUAAACCAGACAAAGUCCAAGAAAGAAAAGGAAGGAAGGAAGGAAGGAAGGAAAGGAAGAGAAAAGAAGGAAGAAAGGAAGGAAGAGAAAGGAAGAAAAUAAGGAAGGAAGUCGGGAAGUCAGGUUAGGCAUGCUAGUGCACACUUUUAAUCUCAGCACUCAGGAGGCAGAAGCAGGUGGAUCAUUGUCCAUUUAAGGCCAGCCUGGUGUACAUAGGAAGUUCCUGGUCAGCUGGGGUUUCAUAGUGAGCCCUGUCUUGAAAUACAGUAAAUAUAUGUCAGUGAUCUAAAUUUCUGCCGUCUUAAGCUGGAGAAAGAAGAGCUGCCAUAAAGGACUUGGAGAUAAUCUCCCAUUAUUAGUGAAAUACUGCGUUUUCUUCCAUAAGAUCUGGACAAGAGGCCCUUUUUCAUGACCCCCCCCCAAAAAAAAACCCUGAAAUUCAACCAACUAACCAACCAACCAAACAAACAAAGACUAUGUCUGUAACAUUGUAUCUACAGUCACAGUAACCCCUUCCUGCCCAGCUAAGGGAUUUGUUUGUUCAUUUGUUCUUUGUUUGCUUCUCAUUGAGGAAGUAAGCUCUUUUGUU